GAUGAAGAACGCAGCGAAAUGCGAUACGUAAUGUGAAUUGCAGAAUUCAGUGAAUCAUCGAAUCUUUGAACGCAUAUUGCGCUCUCUGGUAUUCCGGAGAGCAUGCUUGUUUGAGUAUCAGUAAACACCUCAACUCCCUUUCUUUUUUGAAAUUGGAGCUGGACUUGAGUGAUCCCAACGCUUUCUUCCAAGAAAGUGGCGGGUUGCUUGAAACGCAGGUGCAGCUGAACUUUUCUCUGAGCUAUAAGCAUAUCUAUUUAGUCUGCCUAAAAAACAGAUUAUUACCUUUGCUGCAGCUAACAUAAAGGAGACUAGUUCUUGUGCUGACUGAUGCAGGAUUCACAGAGACAGCUUCGGCUGACUUUGUAAACUCGAUCUCAAAUCAAGUAAGACUACCCGCUGAACUUAAGCAUAUCAAUAAGCGGAGGA
rnacentral:misc_RNA from 1 species